UUCGCAAUGCCCGAAAGGGUGACGAUGCGACGCCGCGUGAGCGAAGAAGGCCCUAGGGUUGUAAAGCUCUGUCGAGGGUUAUGAAAUAUAGAUGGGUUAAUACCCCAUUUAUUUGACAAAAGCCCAAAAGGAAGCCACGGCUAACUCUGUGCCAGCAGCCGCGGUAAUACAGAGGUGGCGAGCGUUGUUCGGUAUUAUUGGGCGUAAAGAGCACGUAGGUGGUUUUGUAAGUCAGGUGUGAAAGCCUUCUGUUCAAAGGAAGAACGGCAUCUGAAACUGCAGAUCUUGAGUGUAGGAGGGGAGAGUGGAACUUCUGGUGGAGCGGUGAAAUGCGUAGAUAUCAGAAGGAGCGUCGGCGGCGAAAGCGACUCUCUGGCCUAUUACUGACACUGAGGUGCGAAAGUUAGGGGAGCAAACGGGAUUAGAUACCCCGGUAGUCCUAACCGUAAACGAUGGGCACUAAGUAGAGGGGUUUU
rnacentral:rRNA from 1 species